GAUGAACGCUGGCGGCGUGCCUAAUACAUGCAAGUAGAACGCUGAAGCUUGGUGCUUGCACCGAGCGGAUGAGUUGCGAACGGGUGAGUAACGCGUAGGUAACCUGCCUCUUAGCGGGGGAUAACUAUUGGAAACGAUAGCUAAUACCGCAUAAAAGUCGAUAUCGCAUGAUAUUGAUUUGAAAGUUGCAAAUGCAUCACUAAGAGAUGGACCUGCGUUGUAUUAGCUAGUUGGUGAGGUAACGGCUCACCAAGGCGACGCUACAUAGCCGACCUGAGAGGGUGAUCGGCCACACUGGGACUGAGACACGGCCCAGACUCCUACGGGAGGCAGCAGUAGGGAAUCUUCGGCAAUGGGGGCAACCCUGACCGAGCAACGCCGCGUGAGUGAAGAAGGGUUUCGGAUCGUAAAGCUCUGUUGUAAGAGAAGAACGAGUGUGAGAGUGGAAAGUUCACACUGUGACGGUAACUUACCAGAAAGGCACGGCUAACUACGUG
rnacentral:rRNA from 1 species